UACGUAGGUGACAAGCGUUGUCCGGAUUUACUGGGCGUAAAGAGCGCGCAGGCGGUCGUUCAAGUCGAGUGUGAAAGCCCCCGGCUCAACUGGGGAGGGUCAUUCGAUACUGAUCGACUCGAAGGCAGGAGAGGGAAGUGGAAUUCCCGGUGUAGUGGUGAAAUGCGUAGAUAUCGGGAGGAACACCAGUGGCGAAGGCGACUUCCUGGCCUGUUCUUGACGCUGAGGCGCGAAAGCGUGGGGAGCGAACAGG
rnacentral:rRNA from 1 species